rnacentral:rRNA from 1 species
UACACGACCGUACCGCAAACCGACACUGGUGCGCGAGAUGAGUAUUCUAAGGCGCUUGAGAGAACUCAGGAGAAGGAACUCGGCAAAUUGACACCGUAACUUCGGAAGAAGGUGUGCCUUUAGUAGGUGAACCAUUUACUUGGGGAGCCCAAUGAGGCUGCAAAAAAUCGGUGGCUGCAACUGUUUAUUAAAAACACAGCACUCUGCUAAGACGAAAUUCGACGUAUAGGGUGUGACGCCUGCCCGGUGCUGGAAGAUUAAAUGAUGGGGUGCAAGCUCUUGAUUGAAGUCCCAGUAAACGGCGGCCGUAACAAUAACGGUCCUAAGGUAGCGAAAUUCCUUGUCGGGUAAGUUCCGACCUGCACGAAUGGCGUAAUGAUGGCCACACUGUCUCCUCCUGAGACUCAGCGAAGUUGAAAUGUUUGUGAUGAUGCAAUCUCCCCGCGGAAAGACGGAAAGACCCCAUGAACCUUUACUGUAGCUUUGUAUUGGACUUUGAACAGAUCUGUGUAGGAUAGGUGGGAGGCUUUGAAGUGUGGUCGCUACAUCGCAUGGAGCCAACGUUGAAAUACCACCCUGGUGUGUUUGAGGUUCUAACCUAGGUCCAUUAUCUGGAUCGGGGACAGUGCAUGGUAGGCAGUUUGACUGGGGCGGUCUCCUCCCAAAGUGUAACGGAGGAGUUCGAAGGUACGCUAGGUACGGUCGGACAUCGUGCUAAUAGUGCAAUGGCAUAAGCGUGCUUAACUGCGAGACUGACAAGUCGAGCAGAUGCGAAAGCAGGACAUAGUGAUCCGGUGGUUCUGUAUGGAAGGGCCAUCGCUCAACGGAUAAAAGGUACUCUGGGGAUAACAGGCUGAUACCGCCCAAGAGUUCAUAUCGACGGCGGUGUUUGGCACCUCGAUGUCGGCUCAUCUCAUCCUGGGGCUGUAGCCGGUCCCAAGGGUAUGGCUGUUCGCCAUUUAAAGAGGUACGUGAGCUGGGUUUAAAACGUCGUGAGACAGUUUGGUCCCUAUCUUCCGUGGGCGCUGCAGAUUUGAGGAAGCCUGCUCCUAGUACGAGAGGACCGGAGUGGACGAACCUCUGGUGUAUCGGUUGUCACGCCAGUGGCAUUGCCGAGUAGCUAAGUUCGGAAGAGAUAACCGCUGAAAGCAUCUAAGCGGGAAACUCGUUUCAAGAUUAGAUCUGCCGGGGCCUUGAGCCCCCUAAAGAGUCGUUCAAGACCAGGACGUUGAUAGGUCAGGUGUGGAAGCCAA